UACGAAGGGGGCUAGCGUUGUUCGGAUUCAUUGGGCGUAAAGGGCGCGUAGGCGGCGGGGUAAGUCUGGUGUGAAAUCUCGGAGCUCAACUCCGAAAUUGCACUGGAUACUGCUCUGCUAGAGGGCUGGAGAGGAGAUCGGAAUUCACGGUGUAGCAGUGAAAUGCGUAGAUAUCGUGAGGAAGACCAGUGGCGAAGGCGGAUCUCUGGACAGCUCCUGACGCUGAGGCGCGAAGGCUAGGGGAGCAAACGGG
rnacentral:rRNA from 1 species